rnacentral:rRNA from 1 species
AUGCGGGAGUGCCGCAAGGAACGACAAGACAGGUGCUGCAUGGCUGUCGUCAGCUCGUGUCGUGAGAUGUUGGGUUAAGUCCCGCAACGAGCGCAACCCUUGUCCCUAGUUGCCAGCACGUAAUGGUGGGAACUCUAGGGAGACUGCCGGUGACAAACCGGAGGAAGGUGGGGAUGACGUCAAGUCCUCAUGGCCCUUACGGCCAGGGCUACACACGUACUACAAUGGUCGGUACAGAGGGUUGCGAAGCCGCGAGGUGGAGCCAAUCCCAGAAAACCGAUCUCAGUCCGGAUCGGAGUCUGCAACUCGACUCCGUGAAGUCGGAAUCGCUAGUAAUCGCGAAUCAGCUAUGUCGCGGUGAAUACGUUCCCGGGCCUUGUACACACCGCCCGUCACACCAUGGGAGUUGGCUGCACCAGAAGCAGGUAGUCUAACCGCAAGGAGGACGCCUACCACGGUGUGGUCAAUGACUGGGGUGAAGUCGUAACAAGGUAACCGUAA